rnacentral:rRNA from 1 species
GUUACUUCGGUACAUCGGUGACAGGUGGUGCAUGGUUGUCGUCAGCUCGUGUCGUGAGAUGUUGGGUUAAGUCCCGCAACGAGCGCAACCCCUAUUGUUAGUUGCCAUCAUUCAGUUUGGGCACUCUAGCGAGACUGCCGGUAAUAAACCGGAGGAAGGUGGGAUGACGUCAAAUCAUCAUGCCCCUUAUGACCUGGGCUACACACGUGCUACAAUGGUUGGUACAACGAGUUGCGAGUCGGUGACGGCGAGCUAAUCUCUUAAAGCCAAUCUCAGUUCGGAUUGUAGGCUGCAACUCGCCUACAUGAAGUCGGAAUCGCUAGUAAUCGCGGAUCAGCACGCCGCGGUGAAUACGUUCCCGGGCCUU